GAGGGUAUAGCUCAAGAGGUAGAGCGUAUGCUUAGCGUGCAUGAGGUCCUGGGUUCAGUCCCCAGUACCUCCU
rfam:Camelus ferus unplaced genomic scaffold scaffold828, whole genome shotgun sequence.